AUUGAUCCAAGGCCGCUCAACGUCAACGCUCCCUCGUGAGGCCGAGUCCCGAUCGAAGCAUUCCUCUUACUUUCACACCCCGGGAGGAGCUUGCGGUCGCCGGUAGCGGAACCGAGAGAAUCUCUCAUUCGUUGCCGCCAUUUUAAUGCACUCACCGAGACCGAGCUCUGUCCCAAUCAUGAAGAGGUCCAGACCGACCCCACCACCCACACCGCCGCUUUCCACUGCUAAAUUCACCGCACCCAUCUUCAAAAAACCCAAAUCCAAAGCCAUGAUCCCACCCAAAUGGGUUCCACUCGGUCUCAGCCAAUCGGAGCUGUCCCUGCCCCUCACUUUCCCCACCGGACAAACCUUCCGGUGGAAACAAACUGGUCCUCUUCAGUACACCGGUGUCGUCGACUGCUACCUCAUCUCCCUCAAGCAUCUCCAAGACGGUGAAGUCUCCUACUGCUUCCACCACCAGGCCACCACCGGGGAUGAGAACAACGCCAGGGUGGCUCUGCUUGAUUUUCUCAAUAUGCGUAUUUCGCUCAGUGAAAUCUGGGAGGUCUUCUCGGCCUCAGACCCGAGGUUCGCCGAGCUGGCGCUCCACCUGGGCGGGGCCCGGGUGCUCAGGCAAGACCCGCUUGAGUGUUUGAUACAGUUUCUGUGUUCCUCUAAUAAUAACAUAACGAGAAUUACUAAAAUGGUGAACUUUAUCUCAUCUCUGGGGAAUUGUCUGGGGACCGUUGAAGGCUUUGAGUUCUACCAGUUCCCAGGGCUGGAGCGGUUAGCGAUGGUUUCAGAGGACGAGCUUAGGGAGGCCGGUUUCGGUUACAGGGCUAAAUACAUCAUUGGCACUAUAAAUGCUUUGCAAUCAAAACCUGGUGGAGGUACUGAAUGGCUUUCAUCUCUUCGAAAUUUGGAUCUUCAUGAGGUUAUCGAUGCUCUCUCUACUCUACCUGGAGUUGGUCCUAAGGUGGCAGCAUGCAUAGCUCUCUUCUCUCUUGAUCAACACCAUGCCAUUCCUGUUGAUACACAUGUGUGGCAGAUUGCUACAAGAUACCUGUUACCAGAACUUGCCGGUGCCCGCCUGACACCCAGGCUCUGCAGCCGUGUGGCAGAGGCAUUUGUGAGCAAAUAUGGCAAAUAUGCUGGCUGGGCUCAGACUUUGCUUUUCAUUGCUGAAUUACCUUCACAGAAGGCCCUCCUGCCAUCACAAUUUUGUAGUACCAAAGAAAAGAAAGCUGCCAAGAGUAAGAAUGGCAAAACAUUCUGUGCUAAUUAAAGAUGUCAAGAUCAAAAUGCAAGGGUGUUGUCAGAAAUAACAUUUUUCAUGGUUAAGGCAUCUGGAUGUUGAACCAUGGUGUCAUUUGGCUCAAGUGGAGAGACAAUGAAAUCAAAACUACAUAUCUUUUUCAGAUGCUCCUUUAGGUACUUUCUUCAUUACCCAUGGCAGGCAGCAAAUUCUUGAUGUUUGUGAGCACAUGUAACUCUAACCUCAAUCGCCUUGUAUUACGGCCUAUCCGGAUAUACUGUGAGCUGGACAUUUUAAGUUAGGCAUUUAGUCAUUCUUUAUCAUUUUAUUCGAAUGAUGGUAUAAUUUUGACAUUAUUAAUUGUUUAAAGAUGUGUAAAUAAUAUGUAAUUGUUGGUGAUUGUUUACGGUUGUCACUUUGGUAAAACUCUAAUGAUGACAAAAUGCAGGAGAAAAGAAAAACCCUUACUCUUUGCAUGAUCAUAAAAGUGGUCAUUUUCAUUUGUAAUUAGGCAAAGGCGCCUUAAUUAUUUGGCUCAUCGUUGGAAAAAGAAGAAAAUCAUCCUAUGUUGUCUACCCAUUUUCCCCUUUGCAAAUGGGGAUUGGAAAAGCUUCAUAAUCCUGAAAUUAGAGCUCAAACAAAGUUCCUUGCAGUGCGAAUUCAGAAGCGUGCGAACUAGCAAGACGGUUUGCAUCUGCCUCUCGAAGACAAAAGCUUACUCGUUGCAUUGCCAAUUACUUUCUCAAGAUGAUUCAAUAGAUGGUUAUUAAUAAGUUGACAGGGUAUCACCUAUUUUUGAAAGAAGUUGGUUCCAUAGAGAGAAAAACCCCACUGAUUUCCAUAAAGCAAUACAUUUUCUCUUUUGUGUGUGAUAUAUAUAGUUGAAAUAUACCUCAAAGUCUUCUUCUUUCCU